GCAGAAACAGAAUAAACAGGUCUUGCCAAAUUCCCCCUGUAACCAGCCACCAUUAGCAUUAGAUCACACUGUAACCAGUUUUCUCUCUCUGCACUCUUGUCAUGAGGAUAACAAAGAAUGAAGCCAACAGGACAGAGUACUCCGAUCUUGGAAACUCAGCAGUGUUGAGCCUGUUUAGUACUUGGAUGGGAGACAUUUACAGUCCCUAGUCAGCUGGCUCCAAGAUAGAAAUGGCAUAAUAGAAGAGUCUAGUGGAGGAAAGCUGCUCACAUCAUAGUGGCCAGGAAACAGAGAAACGGGAAGAGCUGGAGAGAGAUGUCCCCAGUGACCCACCUCCAACAAAAUUCCACCUCCUAACAGCAAGUCAGCUAUAGUGCUGCCAUAAUCUAGUCACCUUCUAAAAGUCUACCUCUGAACACACAAGGUCCUUCAGGGUCAUCCUAGACCUAAACCAUAU
ensembl:lncRNA